UCUCUUCUAUAAAAUAUCCUCCUUUUCCUGUUCAGAAUAAUUUUAUCAUAUAUAAUGAAAAAUCUCAAGAGUCUGGAAUUGCAUUGAAUCUGUAUGUCAAUUUGGGGGAAAAUGCCAUCUUUAUAAUAUUGAUAUUAGUAAACAUGACCUAUCUCUCCUUUGGUUUAGGUGUUCUCCACCCUCUCAUAAUGAAAUUUUAUAAUUUUCCCUAAAGAAAUCUUCAUUGUCAUUUCUCAGAUUUGUUGCUAUGUACUUUAUAUUUUCUGACAAUAUUUCCUUUAAUUAUUUAUUGUUGAUAUAUAGAAUGCUACUGAUAUUUGUAUAUUAAUUUUAUAUCCAUUCUUCUUGAGGUUAGUAUUUUGAUAGUAUACUUGUAUAUCUUUUUGAGUUUUCACCAUAAAGAAUAGCUUCUGAUCAUUACAGUUUUAUUUCUGCGUUUUCAAUCAGGUGCCCCUGCACUGGCUACACUCCACUACAAUGUUGAACAGAAGUAGCAAGAAUACACAUUCUUUUCUCAUUCUUAACUUCAAAGCAUGCUUCUGAUGUCUCCUUCAUUUAGGAUAAUGCUUGCUACAGGUUUUUAAAUAUAUACGUAUCAUUCUAUAAUACAAAAUGAAGUAUUUUGUUCUGCAAUGUGGAGAAUGCUUCUCAGCUUUUAAAAAUAUGCAAAAUCUGACGAAGAACAAAUUCUCUUAAAUUCCUCUUAAACUAGUUUAAAAUUUCCCUUUAUAUUUAUCAAAAGGCAACAAGGUAACAAUUGUUCUUCUUAAUCUGUCUUUAGAAAUAAAUAUUACUCCUUAGUCCUAAAAGCAGUAUGUAUAAGAAUUUAAUUUUUAUCGGAAAAAUAUUACCAUGAUGUAUUUCUCUUGGAAGUACGGAUUCAAAAUUUUAAAGUCAAUUAUAGUAUAUAUUAGCUCUAGAGAUGUGACAUUUCCAAAAUUCUAAUACAGUUAAAUAUUACUGAAAUACAAGUAAACAUCAGGACAAAAAUACACAGUAUAUAGGCUAAUAAUUUUAAAAGCUCACUUCAUUUAAAAGUCAUUUGGGAAAAAAGCUCAUUUCAUUUAAGUCUCAUUUCAGAAAAAAAAAUGAAGUUUAGUUAUAAUUCAUUUGACUUGCUAUUUAAAAUGUAUAGAAGGGCGUCUGGGUGGCUCAGUUGGUUAAGUGUCUAGCUCUUUUUUUUUUUUUUAAUGUUUAUUUUUGACAGAGAGCGUGCACUCGUGAGUGGGGGAGGGGCAGAGAGAGAGGGAGACACAGACUCUGAAGCAGGCUCCAGACUGUCAGCACAGAGUCCAAUGUGGUGCUCAGAGUCCAAUGUGAUGCUCAAUCCGAUAGAUCAUGACCUGAGCCAAAGUCGGACACUUAACCGAUUGAGCCACCCAGGUACCUGGAAGCGUCUGACUCUUGAUUUUGGCUCAGGUCAUGAUCUUGUGGUUGUGGGCCCGUGUCAGGCUCCGUGCUGAACGUGGAGACUGCUUGGGAUUCUACCCUCUCUCUCUCUCUGCCCCUCCCCAGCUCACCUGUUCAUGCACUCUCACUCUCAAAAUAAAUAAAACUUUUAAAAAAAUGUAUAGAUUAAUCUGUCAUGUAUAACAUAAGAAAAGCUAACAUUUAAAGUGCUUACAUGGCCAGGCAAAAGGUAAAUGGUCACAGCCAUCUAUCAUUAAUUUACUCAUUCUUUCAAGGUAUUUAUUGAGUUACUAUUAUGUGCUCUGCACUAAAAUAAAUACCAGAUACAGAUAUGAAAAGACCAUGCCUGCUCUUAGUGAGAUUAGUGUCUCCAUGAAAAAUAGGUAAAGUAAAAUUAUAUAACAUGAAAAGUGUUAUAAUGGGAGUAUGUUGAAUACAGAAGGCAUAAAAGAAGUGCCCCAAGUUCUGCCCAUGAUAAUCAAUAAGGUUUGAAAAACUAAAGCGAAUGAAGUAAAGAAAGGAUAAUGAAGUACUCAAGAGCCUUUUUUUCUUCUUGUCUUUUAAAAACAAAAGAAAAAAUUUAUUUAUUUAAGUAAUCUCUAUACCCAACAUGGUGCUCAAAGUCACGGCCCCAAUAUCGAGUUGCAUGUUUAAUGGACUGAGCUAGCCAGGUGCCCCUCUUCUUGUUUUUUAAGCUUAAAGUUGUGAGGAAAGGCUCUUAUAUUUUCUUGUAUUAAACCAGACUUUAGAGACCAGAAUGAAUCUAUGUUAGAGACCACUUGUCUUUUUAAACUGUGUUAUCUUUCAUUUUUUUAAUAUUUUUUUUCUUCUGGUGAGGACUUUGUUUUUUUUUAAUUUUUUAAAUGUUUUAUUUAUUUUUGAGAGAGAGAGACAGAGCGUGAGCAGGGGAGGGGCAGAGAGAGAGGGAGACACAGAAUCCGAAGCAGGCUCCAGGCUCUGAGCCAUCAGCACAGAGCCCGACGCGGGGCUCGACCCCACAAAUGGUGAGAUCAUGACCUGAGCCGAAGUCGGAUGCUUAACCGACUGAGCCACCCAGGUGCCCCUGUGUUAUCUUUCAGACUACCAAUAUAAGAUAAUCCCCCCAAACUCAAUUGUAAAAUAGUCUUUGUAACAACUCAGUGUCCUCGAUAUGGAAAAAUAAUAAGAUACUGAAUAAAACUGAAUUGUAAAUUCUUUAUUGUCAAAAUCCUAUCGAUUUUAAUCAAUGAAUAUGAGAAUUCCUUGUACGUCAUUAGACAGCUAGAAAAUGAUAAAUAACUUACAUUUUUUUCAGCUUUUGUUGUAAGAGUCCUCUAUGAAGUCUAACUGCUAUUCUUUUAUUCCAGCUAAGUGGACACUAUUAAAACUUGAUAUUGGAACCCUUCAUUAAAUUCUUCGUGCAAUUUAGAUUUCAGCACAUCUUUGACAAUUUGAACAAUAUUUUUACAUGAAACCUCAAGUUUAACACUACUUGACUGCUGUAUAUCCUUUUGUAAGAGAUAGUUCUAAAGAAUUAAUAGCAAGAAAAGUAAGGAAUGCCCUUAAAACAUACUAGUUGAUGUAGUACAUAAACUAAUCCUACACAAAGUUAAGAAUAAUUUUUACCAGUUUUUGUAUUUUCACACGAUACCUGAUGUCUACAAAACAGACUGUCACAAUGAUGUAACAUCAGUCUAUAGACCAGAAAGUGCAGGUCCUAUUUUACUAAACACUUUCAAUUUUACUGUUUCUAUAUAUCAUAAAUAUAGAUCACAAAAACAAAGUCAACUAAUCUCUUACAGUACUAACAGAAUUUUCCUAUGUGAAGUGACACACCUGUGAAAAAGUAUAAAUUCAGCCCUGACAAAUUUCUAUGUACAUGGUAGAAUUUGAACUUGUAUAUCCCAAAAAUAAAAUAAACAACCAAAGAAAAGGAUAAUUCUGAGUUAUCUAAAUUAGUUUUUGGUGUUUUGAGUUUUUUCAAGGGGAUUAGAUUUUGUUUUGCUUAGUAUUAGAAAUGUGCAUUUGAGGGGGCGCGUGAGUGGCUCAGUCGGUUAAGCAUCCAACUCUUGAUUUCUGCUCAGGUCAUUAUCUCAUGGUUUGUGGGUUUGAGCCUCGCAUCGGGCUCUGUACCCUCUCUCUCUGCCCCUCCCUUGCUUGUACUUGCUCUCACUCUCUCUCUAAAUAAAAAAAUGAACUUAAAAAAGAGAAAUGUACAUUUUAGGUCUUAUUUCAAUAUUCUAGGAAAACAAUAACAUAUAAUAACCAUAAUUUCUAUUAUGAAAACUAUACUGGAAUAGAGAAUGAAGCCUACUCUAACCGUCCUAUUUAAAUGUAUAACCUUUUCCCCUUAACUACAGUUUCCCGACUCCUUACACUGAUGUUUCCCCCUGAGAACUUUUCAUUGCCUAAUAAAUUACAUACUAUAUUCACUUAGUAAAUUUGUUUAUUGUCGGUCUUCCUCCACAGAAAUAGAAGCUCUUCAAAGGCAGGAAUUUCUGUUCGUUUUGUUCACUAACUUAUUCCAAGCACCUACAACAACCUAGGACUAUAAAGACUGAAUGAGAAGUACUGGAUAACAGACUGCCUGAGAGUCAAAGGAGGAAAUGGAGCUAACAAUAUACACUUUCCUAAAUAUCACCUUCACUCACUUUGGAGAAAAAGAAAAGAUUUGUCAUUCCUCAAACCUAGGAACCCAACUGAAUUGUGGUGAUAAUCUUCUCUACCUUAAGACACACAGUAGCAGAACUGGAAUAAAACCAGCUUCAUUAUGGGCUAAAGUCCAGAUUUAUUCCAAUAUCUGAGGCUGACUCGGAAAUGGGCCUUAAGAAUCCAAGUAAGGAAAGUUUUGGAUGUGUAUUUGACUGAUGUAUGCAGCAUAAGGUAAAUAAAAGAUGUAAGAGUUGGUAAGUGCUAGAGAUUUCACUGUGUUGGGGGGCGGGGAAGAUCUUGAAAAAAAUUUUAACUUCUGGGAUGAAAAAGUAGAGAAAUAUUUAAAAUCUGUCCCAGAUUACUCAGGUAUUUAACUAAAUUGAAAAUAAAUGGCAAUACCAAAUCACCUGUCUUGAUUAAGACUGCCUGAUUUAGGGGCACCUAGGUGACUCAGUUAAGCGACUGACUCUUCGUUUCCGCUCAGGUCAUGAUCUCACGG